AGUUUAGUUCCAAGUCAUGAUCUCAAGGUCAUGCGAUGGAGCCCCAUGUUAGGCUCUGUGCUGAGCCUGGAGCCUGCUUAAGAUUCUCUCUCUCCUUCUCCCUCUGCUCCUCCUCACCCCCUCCAAAAGAUUCUAUAAAAUGGCCCCAAAGCCAGAGCCAACAAAAUAUAGAUUAAUACCCAAAGAAUCGCUGCUCCCUUGUUGAGUAACAAUGGGAGGGCAGGGGUCCUGUUUCAUUUCAUAUCCUUCUACACUACAGGUCUUAACUAUGAACAUAUAUUGCUUCUAGUAGAAAAAAAAAUUUUUUUUAAAAAGAAAAAAAUCCU